UGGAAUUCCGGUUACAGCCUUGCUGUGUGCUCAGACUGUGUUCCUCUGCUGGAGCCCAGUUCUGGCCCCAAGGACUGCUUCUGUACAAGGCUGAUGGAGGAGAAUCACAGGGAUACGGAUAUGGCCUCUGCAGACAGAGCUGGACAAGACUCAAAUAAGGUGAGGGACUGGCCGAUGCCAGCGGGAACAUAGAAAUCAGGAGCAGCUUCGUCACAGGGGAAAGUGUCGACUGCCUGUGGGAGCAGUUUUGAGUGUGCCCAACAAAUGAAUUCGGGAAGUAUAACGUCCAGCUUUGUGACUUAAGAACAUUCCCAUUUAGAAUGCAUAGUACAAGGCCAGGGAGAUGGCUCCGUGAGUAAACACACACACUAUACUGCAGCCUAAGGGCCCUG
rnacentral:lncRNA from 1 species